rnacentral:rRNA from 1 species
UACGAAGGGGGCUAGCGUUGUUCGGAAUUACUGGGCGUAAAGCGCACGUAGGCGGAUAUUUAAGUCAGGGGUGAAAUCCCAGAGCUCAACUCUGGAACUGCCUUUGAUACUGGGUAUCUCGAGUAUGGAAGAGGUGAGUGGAAUUCCGAGUGUAGAGGUGAAAUUCGUAGAUAUUCGGAAGAACACCAGUGGCGAAGGCGGCUCACUGGUCCGGUACUGACGCUGAGGUGCGAAAGCGUGGGGAGCAAGCAGG